rnacentral:rRNA from 1 species
GCAUAUCAAUAAGCGGAGGAAAAGAAACUAACAAGGAUUCCCCUAGUAACUGCGAGUGAAGAGGGAGAAGCUCAAAUUUGAAAUCUGGCAGUCUCUGGCUGUCCGAGUUGUAAUUUAGAGAAGUGUUACCCGCGUUGGACCGUGUACAAGUCUCCUGGAAUGGAGCGUCAUAGAGGGUGAGAAUCCCGUCUUUGACACGGACUGCCAGUGCUUUGUGGUGCGCUCUCGAAGAGUCGAGUUGUUUGGGAAUGCAGCUCUAAAUGGGUGGUAAAUUCCAUCUAAAGCUAAAUAUUGGCGAGAGACCGAUAGCGAACAAGUACCGUGAGGGAAAGAUGAAAAGAACUUUGGAAAGAGAGUUAAACAGUACGUGAAAUUGCUGAAAGGGAAACGCUUGAAGUCAGUCGCGUUGGCCAGGGAUCAGCCUUCCUUUCGGUUGGUGUACUUCCUGGUUAACGGGUCAGCAUCAGUUUUGACCGUUGGAUAAAGUCUAGGGGAAUGUGGCAUCUUCGGGUGUGUUAUAGCCUUUAGUCGUAUACAACGGUUGGGACUGAGGAACUCAGCACGCCGCAAGGCCGGGUCUUUGACCACGUUCGUGCUUAGGAUGCUGGCAUAAUGGCUUUAAUCGACCCGUCUUGAAACACGGACCAAGGAGUCUAACAUGCCUGCGAGUGUUUGGGUGGAAAACCCGAGCGCGUAAUGAAAGUGAAAGUUGAGAUCUCUGUCGUGGAGAGCAUCGACGCCCGGCCCAGACCUUCUGUGACGGUGCCGCGGUUGAGCAUGUAUGUUGGGGACCCGAAAGAUGGUGAACUAUGCCUGAAUAGGGGUGAAGCCAGAGGAAACUCUGGUGGGAGGCUCGUAGCGAUUCUGACGUGCAAAUCGAUCGUCGAAUUUGGGGUAUAGGGGGCGAAAGACUAAUCGAAACCAUCUAGUAGCUGGGUUCCUGCUGA